CCCUGGGUGGUGCAAAUGGUUAAACACGUUUGGCUGCUAACUGAAAGGCUGGAGGUUUGAGUCCACCCACGGGUG
rnacentral:tRNA from 1 species